GCGUAUCCAAAAGUUACCAAGUUACUCUUACCAAGUAUCCACCGCCGGAUCCCUGGAUCCAAGUGAUCGAGAUACAGUGUACACUAGCAGAGAACCUCCCCCCUACGGUUAAAAGGACGAGCGAGUCACUGUAAAAAGAAAGGAAGAUAUUCGUAGCACAGCCGAGAGAUGGUUCCAUUUCGAAUGGGUGACGAGUGAGCGAGUACACGUACACACCAGCGAUUAGUACGGCAAUGAUAAGCGCCACCUUUGUUUGAAAGAAAGCUUGUUUGUUCUUACCUGGAGAGAGAGAGCUUCUUCCCAGUCCGUUGCAUUUGGAAAUCCGGUUGAUGAUAGCAAAUCGGUGUCGCUGUCCAGGCAAAGAGCAGUCAGUUUGGCGGUAUAUAAGAAACGAGAACGAACUUUGUCUCCGCUUAAGUUACCUCCAGUGUUGGCUUUGCUCUCGCUCGUCUUGUUCUUGUCUCUCUUCUUCCAGCUCCUCGUCGAGCGAGCAAUGGAGGCUUGCGCCUGUUCUUACUCGCUCCAAGCUGUCGUCCAUGGCGAAUCGUCGAAGAUUUUCUGUUGCUGUUCUUGUUCUCCUCCUCCUCUUGUUUCUCCUCCUCCUUCCCCUGGCUUCGCUCACUUCCCAGCAUCUGUUCUUGGUGUUCUUGAGGAGCCCCAGGCCCAGGAAGUCGAUUUUGACUGCUCCAGCGAGUUCUUCCUCGUCGACCAGUUACUGGCUGCUACUGCGUCGUGCUCGGCGGAUUUCUGCUCGUUUCUUGAUUCUGCUGCUACUGAGCUCGCCACCGUCUGCUACUCCAGCUUCACGGGCGAUUCCAUCGCUUCCACGGACGGUGACGCAGUGAUCGGGCACGAAUGCUGGAAGGAACUGCUCAAAGAGGAGGAGCAGCAGCCUCCGCAGAAGGUUGAGCCAGAGCCAGUGAAGGCGGAGCCUGGGAGGACAGAGUCCCGGCAAGGCGAUGAUCCGGUGGUGCAAGACGAUGAUCCGGUGGUGGCAGACGACGAGCAGCUCAAGAGGUACGUGAAAGUCCUUCCAUCUAGCUGCUCUCGCGCUUGCUCAGCAUAUUCUUUGCUCAUCUCGUGCUAGGAAGUGGGAAUUCCAGGCCGGGCUUAAGCGUGCGCUCAAGAACAACCAGGUCAUCGACGUCGAUGCU
rnacentral:lncRNA from 1 species